AAUGACAAAAACUCAGAAAAUUAUCAUUGUUUUUUUUAUUGUAGGUUUCAUCAAGGUGAUAUUUGAAUUUCCCCAAACAGGUUAUGCCGCCCCAACACCACCAAAAUAUCCAACAGGAGGAACGGUAAUCAAGACAAGCUAUGCACCAGCAACCGCAUCAUCAGGAACACAAACCAACACAGCGGUUCACGGUAUUCAAACAAAGGUGACAGCAAAGGCAUAUUGAAGACUACAACACAUGAGAUAAACACACUAUAUUUUAUUUAUACGUAUUAUUUGUUUAAUAAUAAACACAGUAUAUGUUUAUGAUAUGUGUAA